rnacentral:rRNA from 1 species
UACGAAGGGGGCUAGCGUUGUUCGGAAUCACUGGGCGUAAAGGGCGCGUAGGCGGCUUUGUAAGUCGGGGGUGAAAGCCUGUGGCUCAACCACAGAAUUGCCUUCGAUACUGCAUGGCUUGAGACCGGAAGAGGUAAGUGGAACUGCGAGUGUAGAGGUGAAAUUCGUAGAUAUUCGCAAGAACACCAGUGGCGAAGGCGGCUUACUGGUCCGAUACUGACGCUGAGGCACGAAAGCGUGGGGAGCAAACAGG